GGUUAAGCGACUAAGCGUACACGGUGGAUGCCCUGGCAGUCAGAGGCGAUGAAGGACGUGCUAAUCUGCGAAAAGCGCCGGCGAGGUGAUAUGAACCUUUGACCCGGCGAUGUCCGAAUGGGGAAACCCAGUGUGWUUCGWCACACUAUCGUUAACUGAAUACAUAGGUUAACGAGGCGAACCGGGGGAACUGAAACAUCUAAGUACCCCGAGGAAAAGAAAUCAACCGAGAUUCCCCCAGUAGCGGCGAGCGAACGGGGAGCAGCCCG
rnacentral:rRNA from 1 species